rnacentral:lncRNA from 1 species
UGGGACAUCAUCUUUCCAUGGCUCUUGUUCGGUCAGAUCUCCCUCCAGAAGACUCAAAACACUUUGUAAAGGCUGGUGACAUCUAGUGGAAGCAAUAGGAAGUGCCAAAAUAUUCCUAAACCCCUGUGUUUUUCAAUGGGAUAGGUUUAAAGUCAAUACAACACAUCAGACGUGCAAAUGCUGCCCCCUAGACCCAACAGGUUAAGGCACCCACAUGCCAAGAUACACAUGAUUGUGUCAACAGGAUGCUGUUUUCCUCCAUUCAACUUCAAGCUAUCUGUUACAUAAAGGGGAGUUAGAUUGACAUUUAUGUGGGCUCUCCUGGAUCGGUUCAGGAUACACGUCAUUAAGAACAGCCCUGUGUAUGCUGAGAAAAGGUACCCACCGGUAGGAUACUUCAUCUUAGGCGGUGGAGGCUGUCCCUGCAACAGCCCAUCUAUAAUGACCCCAUUCCGGGAGCCGGUGCAAAGUACAAUCCAGAAACGCUACAACAAGCAGCAUUCAAAGGCAUCAUCGAGAGGACCUUUGGGAUGUUGAAGACACGUUGGAGGAGCAUCUUCUUCAAGGCCUUGGAAGUUCAACACACGUUUGUGCCGAGGGUCAUCUGUGCUUGUGCAGUUUUGCACAACAUCUGCAUGGGGGUUGGGGACCUUGAGGAACUAGACCCAGAGAUGCAGAGAGAUGUUGCCACGGGGGGCCAGCACAGAUAAAAAAUGUAUGAAAUGUAUGAAAUUGUAUGAAAUGUAUGCAUUCACUACUGUAAGUCGCUCUGGAUAAGAGCGUUUGCUAAAUGACGUAAAAAAAUGUAAAAUGUUGUGAACGCCAGACCAGCACCAAGGCAGGGCCCAAAUGAAGCAAGCUGGGAUGCCCAAAGGAACAACUUGGCAGGACGCAUUUCAGUACCUGUCCAAGUUCCUCCCCAUCUAGCUGACCAUAACUACAAUCAAGCUGUUCAAAUCACCCCCUUGGUCUCAUUCACGUUGAAAUGUGUUCUUUCCAGUCAUUGUUUACAUUUAAAGUAGUGGUAUCCAGUCUUAUCCACAAAGGGUCAGUGUGGUUCCAAGCAUUCCUUUCAACCAUUCCAUCACACACAUGAUUCACCUUGUCAAAGUCUCCUGUCAAGACUAAGUUGUUGAAUCAGAGAUGUGACUUACUGGUUGGAGGGAAAGCUUGUACCCACACUGGCCCUUUGUAGAUAAAACUGGAAACCGCUGCUUUAAAGUCACUUGUUUGCAUAAGUAACCUGUUUUCAUCAAGCUGUAGUUUCAUUUCAGAUACUUUUGGGCAUUUCUGCAAAACAUGAAUUCACAGGAAGUAUAAAGUAACUAACUAUCCUAGUUGUUUAAAACAUGUUAAAAAUUACACACCGACAAGCAGAUAUUAUAUAAAACACUUCAAUGUGUUAUUAACAAAUUAAUGUGACUGGUCAAUUGUGUGAGUCAGGGGCUGGGUCUAAACCCAAGAGGCAAAACAAAUAAAAACAAAAACUGUUAUCCAACCACAGGACCCCGCUCUCAAUGUUUAAAAUACACCAGAGAGCAUAAUUUAGCCACAGUGAAUCAAUAGUUAAUAAAAAAUAUCUGUGGAUUAAGUUUUUAUCACAAGCGCAUACAGGUAUCUGACAAAAUUAAGGAGACACUAACAUAACGUGUCUUAAAAGGGUGCUAGGCCACCACGAGCUGCCAGAAUAGCUUCAAUGCGCAUUGGCAUAGAUUUUUUACAAGUGGUGCUAAACCAUGCAAAGAAAAUGCACCCCACACCAUAACAUAUACUUUGUGUCCCUCAUUUACUCAAGUGUUUCCUUAAUUUUGUCUCAUACCGGUUUGCCUAUAGUUGGGAAGGCUGCAGGUUAACCUCUUACAUCGAGGUUUUUGCCUGCCAUAUGAGUUCUGUUAUACUCACAGACAUCAUUCAAACAGUUUUAGAAACUUCAGAGUGUUUUCUAUCCAAAUAUACUAAUAAUAUGCAUAUCCUACCUUCUGAGUCUGAGCAGGAGGCAGUUUAAUUUGGGUACGUUUUUCUUCCGGCCGUGAAAAUACUGCCCCCUAUAGUGAAGAGGUUAAGCAGCAUGCACAUCAAAUGUACAGCUUGUUGCAUUGGGACCAUAGACAUAUAAUGGAUGGAAGGGUUUUGUAACCUCUUACCCUGGUAAUUUGACACUUAAACUCAUAGACACACUAGCAAUGGAUACCAGUCCUGACUUGAUUGGGAAAAGACAUUUAUGGAUUAUAUUUCUAUGGUUGGUUGCAGCUGUUGGUUUGCCUUUUUCAGAUUUCAAAAUACAAUCGCGGGAAAAAGGUAGUUUGGAGAAAAAAAUUACUAUUGCUGAAAAGGCAAGAUUAAUCUGUCUGUAGAACCAAUUUUUGCUAACAGCAGCACUGUUUUUAAAAGUAGCUCAUCUUGAGACGAGCGCAUCGGCCAUCACCAUGAGUAGCCUAUGGCUUCAUCUUCAUCAUUAGGAGAAUCAGUGUGCCACUGGAGAUUUUCUUUAGUAGCUUACUGUAGCCUAUGAUAUAUAUGUACUGUAUAUAUAUAUAUCCUCCUAAUAUUGUACAAUACGUGUGUCACUUCAUUGGCUUGGGCUAUUGUUUGUUUGAAUUCAAGACCAGAUUGAUCUCAGUUUGUCAGUCAGAGUAGCCACUCAUUUUGGUAAUUUGCAUGGUAUUAAAAAAGAUUCAGCUAAUGUCUUCUGUCAUGUAUUUUUUUCCCGAACCCUGCUAAAAACAAUCCCCAUGUGUGGAAAUCCUAAAAACGCCUUUAUUUAUUUAUUUUAUUUCACCUUUAUUUAACCAGGUAGGCCAGCUGAGAACAAGUUCUCAUUUACAACUGCGACCUGGCCAAGAUAAAGCAAAGCAAAAGAUAAAGCAAAGCAAAAACAACACAGAGUUACACAUGGGAUAAACAAACGUACAGUCAAUAACACAAUAGAAAAAUCUAUAUACAGUGUGUGCAAAUGUAGUAAGAUUAGGGAGGUAAGGCAAUAAAUAGUCCAUAGGCGCGAAAUAAUUACAAUUUAGCAAUUAAACACUGGAGUGAUAAACACUGGAGCCUCUCUACUCAACUGUAGCCUAUGCCACAUGGCAAACUUUACUAUGGCUUUAUUAUAAAAGGGCUUUUUCUUAUACAGUAAAUUUAUCCCGGAUCUAGCUUUUGAAAAGUUAAGGGAGACUUGUCAGAACCAAACAAUAGGAUGCAUGGAGGAAAGUGUGAGGGUAGAGCGAGACCAACUUUUCAAAGAGCUUACUUUUCUAUACUCAAGGGGAGAGAGUGCACUAUUCAAUUCUCAAUACUACUGUUUUCAAUUUCAUAAAGCAGUUUGUGUUUCUUAACCAGGCAAAACUAAAUAGUAGGCUGGUGACGGGUAUUUACGGGGAAGCAAGAUGCACAAUGUGUAGCCCAUGACCGGAGAAAGAGCAGGAGUGCAGCCUGCCUGUCUGCCCACACAUUGCUUGCUUUGCUGCAUCAGCUGGUGAGCUGCUGUGUGUGCAGGUGUGGCGGGUCCUUCCCACUGUUAAAGAACAGAAAUCUCGCUGCUCUGCACACCCAGUGCUGCUAAUAUUCUGCUUAUCAUAGUAGUCUAUCCAGUGCAAAUACAAGUCAAGUCCAAGUCAUCAAUGGACUCGAGUCGAGUCCAAGUCCUGGACUCGAGUACUACAACACUAAUUAGUACUAUCUUAGAGGAAGGGCACAGCUCCCUCUACUAACUCCCAUUUUCUUACCAACUAUUUUAUUGACAUAUUUAUUUUUCUUCGUUUUUUGUGUAUUGUCUGUGUUCUGUUAUGUAUUGUAUUUCUUUGUUCUGUUUGUUUGCUCUCCCCAAUCAGAAAAAAAUAAGAAAAAGAAAAACAUUGAAAAUUGAGAACAAGUUGCAACUUAAUAACCUUCAAGGCAUUUGUAAUAUUCAUAUGUGUAAACAUACUGAAUUAUAAAUGAAUGCAUUUUACCGCCAUAUCAUAUCAUACUGUGCUAUGAUUGGUUAAGACCACCCAAAUGGUUAGGUCAUGGUCAGUUGAUCAUGGUUGGAGAUAUGUGAACAUGACAGUUGUAGCUAGCUAAUAAAGAGCUACGUUAAGAAAUAUCCUGUAGUACUGCAUUUUAUUAUUUUGUACAAAGCGUGCAAAACAAGACAUGGUGUCAGAGUAAAAGGUCUUAAAAAAUGGAUUUUUCUGGAGUUCCUUCACCUCGAAUGGACUGGGAGUCUACAAACUUACCCGAUGCAUGGCGUAAGUACAAACAGCAUGUGGAGCUAAUGUUCACGGGUCCUCUGAAGGACAGAGGAGAAGAGGAAAAGUGCAGCUACCUGCUCCUCUGGAUCGGUGAAAAAGGGAGAGAUAUUUACAACACAUGGACACUUACCGAGGCUGAUUCAAAGGUACAAAAAAAAUACUACGAUCGUUUUGAAGCAUAUGUUGUGCCGAAGACCAAUACGAUUUUCGCUAGGUACAAAUUCCAUGAGAAAGUACAGGGAGCUAGCGAGUCUUUUGAACAGUUUGUGACUGAGCUGCGUCUGCUUGUGAAAGACUGUGAUUUUAUGCAAACAAGGAUGAGAUGGUCAGGGACCGUAUUGUAUUUGGAAUACACUCACCGUGAGUGAGAGGGACAUUUUUGAAUAUUGGGUCUGAGCUAACGCUGGACAAAGUUAUCGACAUAUCCAGAUCUCACGAGCUGGCACAGGCUCAGAUCAAAACCAUUUCGCGCGGCAGCACGAGCGCAUCACGUGAACACACAGACAUCAAAGCACACCUCCGGUGCACAGAUAGCGCGUUUUAGAACUGGGAGAGACAUAACUCCAAAACAGAGCGACACAGACUCAAAACGCCCCAAAACAUGUGGAUACAAAGUGUAUGGCGAACAAGGAAAUUGCCCAGCUAAAGGCAAACAGUGUACUAAAUGUGGUAAAUGGAAUCACUUUGCAAAAGUGUGCAGAGCUUACCGUGGAAAAACAGUACACACAGUGAGUGAAGAUGAAAUGGCAAUCAAAGAGUCAAACGCUGAUGAACUGUUUAUUGAUUCAGUGACACAGAAAAGUGAAAUAUCAGAGACAGAGCAAGCCUUUGUUGACAUUGAGAUAGGAACACAAGGCACAGAGCUAAAGUUCAAACCAGACACUGGUGCACAAGUAAACAUUAUACCUCUGAAUAAGUACCGCAACUUGACAUCUGAGUGCGAGCUACAGCCCACCAUGCGCAGACUGACUGGUUAUGGUGGUAAACAGCUCCCAGUAAAAGGCACAUGCACUUUCAAAUACAAAUGCAAAUACAAGGAAAGUGACAUGAUGUUGGACUUUUACGUCGUUGACACUAGAGCACCUGCAGUGCUAGGUCUUAAAGCAUGUUUAGACAUGGACCUCAUCAAGCUAGUUUUAUCAGUGACAGCACCAGUAGAGACAGAAAAUGUACUGGAGGAGUUUGCUGAUGUUUUUACAGGAAUAGGAUUAUUCCCAGAAGAAUGUACCAUUCACCUUGACCCAGACGCAACCCCUGUGGUCUACCCACCGAGAAAGAUUCCCCUUGCUCUCCGUGCCCGCCUGAAGAAAGAGUUGGAGAGCAUGGAGCAAUCUGACAUAGUCACCAAGGUUACAGAACCGACUGACUGGCAAAACGCUUUAGUGGUGGUGGAGAAACCAUGCACAGGCAAGCUCGAGUAUGCCUUGACCGAAGAGACUUGAACAAGGCUAUCAAAUGCCCCCAUUAUCCUUUACCGACACUAGAUGGCAUCACACACAAGCUAGUGGGAGCACACUACUUCAGUGUCAUGGACGCUACAGGUUCCGUCGCCUGCCUUUUGGGAUUAUCUCACCCCAAGACGAGUUUCAGCGAAAGUUUGACAAAGUGUACUGAGGCCUAGACGGAGUUGUGGCAAUUGUGGACGACAUCGUUGUCUAUGGUCGAACUAAAGAGGAGCACGACCGAAACCUUCUGAGCGAUGCUGCAAAGGUCCCGCGAGAGAGGAGUCUGGCUCAACCCUGAGAAGAGCACAGUCGGCGCUACAGAGGUCAGCUACUUCGGACAUCUUCUCACAGCGACUUGAAUCAAGCCAGAUCCACAGAAUAUCUCAGCCAUAAAAGAAAUGGAGCCACCAAAGAACCGUGCAGAGCUGGAAACUGUGUUUGGCAUGGUCAACUACUUAGCCAAGUUCGCACCCAGCCUCUCCAAUGCUAAUGCACCCCUGCGUCAACUGCUAAAGCAGUCCAGUGAGUUUCUCUGGCCCAAGCAACACAACAUUGCUUUCCAGAAUGUGAACGACAUGAUCACGAGAGAACCAGGACCAAUCCUUGCCUACUACGACCCCAACAAAGAGCUCAGACUCCAAGUGGACACGUCAAAGUAUGGACUAGGUGCAGUGCUACUGCAAGAAGGAAAGCCCAUCUGCUACGCUUCCAAAUCUCUCACAGACUGUGAAAUCAACUACGCUCAAAUCGAAAAAAGGAGCUCUACGCCAUUCUGUUCGGAUGUAAACGUUUCCAUCAGUACGUAUAUGGAUGACAAGUCAUUGUGGAAUCUGACCACAAGCCCCUUGAGUCAAUCAUGAGGAAACCACUACCCGCAGCCCCGCCAAGGCUACAGAGAAUGAUCCUUCAACUACAAAAAUACGACUUCUCAAUCACUCACCGCCCAGGCAAAGACAUCCCUGACACAGACACUCUCCCCAGGAAGUUUCUUACCUAUAAGGACAGCAGCCACAGUGAAGGCAUGGACAUGCAAGUGCACACUGUGUAAAGCAACUUACCAGUUAGUGACACAAAACUGAAGGAGAUCCAAGCAGAAACAGAAAAGGACUCACAACUCACACAGCUGAGGAAAGUCAUACAGAUGAAGGCCUGAGGAGAGGAGAAAAUGCCCUCAGAGCGUCUCAGAAUUCUGGAACCAUCGUGAUGAACUAUCACAGAUCAACAGAAUAAUUUUCAAAGGAGAGAAAAUCAUUAUUCCCACCAGUCUCAGAGAAGAGAUUUUGACAAAGAUCCAUGCUGGACACAUGGGCAUGGAAAAGUGCAAACAGAGAGCACGGGACAUUUUGUUUUGGCCCGGAAUGUGCAAACAAAUAGAGGACAUUGUUGGUAAAUGCGCCAUAUGUCUUGAACGACGCCCCUCAAACACCAAAGAGCCAAUGUUACCUCACUGUAUCCCAGACCGACCCUGGCAGGUCGUGGCAACCGAUCUAUUCACCUGGAACAACGAGGACUACAUCGUAACAGUGGACUACUACAGCAGAUACUUCGAACUCGACAAGCUUCACAGCACCACAUCUGCAGCUGUGAUACACAAGCUGAAAGCAGCCUUUGCCAGGCAUGGCAUUGUAGAGACUUUAAUAUCUGACAAUGGGCCCUGUUACAAAUCAAAUGAGUUUGAAUCCUUCACAAAAGCAUGGGAGUUUACACGACACCAAAAGCCCACAUUACCCUCAAAGUAAUGGCCUUGCUGAAAAAUCUGUGCAGAUUGCUAAAUCACUUCCCAGCACCAACCAGCAGCUGCAACCUGAGGUCGUCAGCUACAAGGAAAUGCAUGAAAACGUGCACAGAGACAACAACAAAAGCGAUACUACGACAGGUCAGGUAGACCACUGCCACCACUGAUCGACGGAGAGUCUGUUAGAAUCCAGGAGCAUGGCCUCUGGAAGCCAGCAGUCGUCAUCCAGCCAGCUGACACUGAACGUUCAUAUCACGUCCGCACCGCAGAAGGAGAGGUGUACCGCCGUAAUCGUCGUCACCCACUGAACACAAAAGAACAACACACUGAUGAGAUGAACUGUUCCCCUGAAAGAGAACGUGAUGGACUAAACACACACACAGCACAACAUACACCAUACUUACCUGCAACACCACAAGAACUGUUGACAGACACAGAAGCAUGCUCAGCAUCAUAUCACACAAGGUCAGUAAGAGAGGUCAAGCCAAGAGCUGUCCUAGACCUGUGAAAUGUCAAAGGGUGUAGGCGGAUCGCUGCCCUAAAAGAGUUCCAGACUGUAAACUUGUUAUUGAAAGUUCACUUGAAAUGCUUUGGUAUUGUAUUUAUUUGAAAUGUUAAGAUGUCAUUUCUACUGUGAAAGCUGAGUUGCUGAGAAUCCCUUGUUCGAAAAGUAACAGUAUAUUGGAUCAUUGUUUCAGAGUCUAAGUUGAUUCAGUUGGUGUAGAAUGCAAUAUAAAUGGUUACUUACCUUGAGUUCAAACUGCAGAACAUGUUUUCAAAAGAAACACUUAGAAUAUGUAAACAUUUUCUUUUGUUUUAAAAGAAGGCGGAUGUAAUAUUCAUAUGUGUAAACAUACUGAAUUAUAAUUGGAUGCAUUUUACCGCUGUAUCAUACUGUGUUAUGAUUGGUUAAGACCACCCAGAUGGUUAGGUCAUGGUCAGUUGAUCAUGGUUGGAGAUACGUGAACAUGACAGUUGUAGCUAGCUAAUAAAGAGCUACGUUAAGAAAUAUCCUGUAGUACUGCAUUUUAUUAUUUUGUACAAAGCAUGCAAAAUAAGACAGCAUUUACAGUUGUAUUUUUAAAAAACAUUGUAAAUUGUAAGUAAGCAACAGAUUAAUUUAACAUUCUUUACCUUUCUAAAGAUGUAAGACAUGUUACCUUGACAACAACAUCAAAAUGUGCAUAAAAAUAGAAUGCGUAAAAUGCUGAAUUCUUGGCUGACAUGUCGACUAAUUGGCUUGAAUUUGUAUGCAUGUAUGAUUCUAUCUUUACAUUUCCAUGGAAUUCUCCAAUAUCUGUGCCGUUGAGUAAAUUACUCUGAUUUGUAGAUAGGAGUAGGAGUAGAUGUUUACUUGAGGAGGAGGAGAAGAGAGGGAGGAGAAAGAGAGAGGUCAGGAAGGAGGGACAACAAGCAACAUCUACUGUAUGUGUGUUCCUAAGAAAUGUGAACAUUUCUUUUACUAGAAUGUUCUAAACAUGUUCAAAAUAACACAGAAUUAAAUAGAGCUCUAAUUCAAUGUAUCUCUGUGUGAGUAAACCACUGGAAAACAUUUACCUUCAUAACAAUAUGAACUUGAUCUAACAUAACCACAAUUUUCCUUCCCUUCUUCAGCUUUCUACUUCUGUUUAAGAGUCACUGUUAAACACUUGUUUUUCCAACAAUGCUUUGCAACACAAUGCAUCCAUGAUGCCUAUAGUGCAGUCUUAUGACUCCCAUAGGGAGUGGAUGGACAGAAAUGCAGAUUGUGUCUGGCAUGAUGUGUCAUAUUUAAUUGUUGAUUGUCACUAUUGUACAUGUCACAUAUACAGAAGUCGCCCCCUGAGUGAUGGUUACCUGUCGUAUGUAACCGACAGAUGACAUAGCAAUGUGUUUCUGAGUGAAGGAAGGCGUCAACACUACAUGUUCUACUCUUCUCCCACAACACUUUGGAGAUGCAUUUAUCUGCCCGCUUACUUCGUUCUGAUUAGUGUCUUGUUUAGUUUUCAAGGCUGUUGUCUUCUCCCUUUGUCAUAACAGAGAAUAACCUCAUCUGCCUUUCAAAUUGAUGUUGCAUGAUGUUUUCUCCACCCAACAUUGUUAACUAAGAGGCCUCCCUUCUUAUUAUAAUGUGGAAGCUGCCUGUUUGGCAAACUACCCUACAGUAGGACUACCGGAAUAAACAGUAAUAUUCUCACUAUUUGAUAAGUGACUCACUCCUUCCCGCCUCAGAAUCUCGGCCUCCGUUGACUCUGUAGAUGUUGGAAACAUAUGGCGCCAUGUGCUGCUUUUUAACCUUGAUCCUCAAAAUGCCAGGAAAAUAAAACUCCCUCUGUUUUGUUUUUCUCCCUUCACGCUAAAGUUGCCGGGCGUCCAAUCCUAUUUGCAUGCAGUGUCACCAGGGCGACGGAUAACGUUCUGUUGUUGUUGAGGUGGACUGCCGCUUCCUCCCUCCCUCCUUCCCUCCAUCCCUCCAUCCCCCCUUCACCUGCAACAGCUGUUUUCCCUCUGGUGUCACUGACUUGGCAUCACGCUUUCAAGGUUGACAGGCCACAACGCCUCCUCAUUCCCUCCUGCUUUUCCAAACUCUCCAGUGAUUUCUUCCCUUCCCCCUUGUUCAAUUUCCGUUAAGACUAAUCAAACAGCCCAGACAUGUUUGCUAUUGACUUAGGUGAAGGGAAUUGAGGAGUCCUACUUCUGAGGGCAGUUCUCUAACAGUGGAGAAUGGAAGUAGUCAUUGAAAUGAUUGAUAAUGACCUUUAUCCCUAUGUGUGAUUGGUAACAUACUGGCCCCAUCAUUUCAUCCACCAGCAGUAAACACACAGACACCAUAGAGGUUUAAUUCCAUAUUUCAAUAAAUUCAGGGGAGAAAGGUCAUUAAUCAUGAUAAGGGUAUAGCGAUGGGGAGGGGGUGGAGAGUAGCAAGCCACACCAGGGGUGUGGUGUGAUUUAUUGUUCCCGGGGUACAAAGCCUUGUUCAACAUGGCCCACCAUGAAUCUUCAGCACCCACCACCAUCCACAUACAUUAGACCCCCCUAUUCCCUUGCCCAAACGUUCUA